UUGGUUGCCACAUUAACGCUGCGGCAGCAGCAACAACAGCAACAGUAAGCGUAAUAACAACACUUUGUUAAAUGAUAAUAUUUAAUAGUAAUAACCCGAGCGAGUAGCCAAAGCUAGCAGUGUAGAAAAGUGACCGAAGACAACGCGUGGAAAAAAAGCGCCCAACACUUCGCGCAAGCACGGUGCUACUGAUUUAUAUAACGGAGGUCGAGAAAGAGAAUUUUAUUUUCGUAAUUUUCAUAAAAUCUCCCCUAAGUUCCCGCACAUUCGGAGUACCGUCAAUUGCAAUGGAUUUCCUCUUUCAACUAUCUACAAUUUGGCAGAAAUUGGAACGUGGAGAAUCGAACGGGCACUGGUAUAAAUUAAACAAGUAAAUUUGGUGACUAGGCAGAAGAGUUCAAACAUGAUGAGCAGAGAUUGAGGCGAAUCCAAGACGAUUAUUAAAAAUUAUGCUUAUAAUGC